ACAAUGCUGAAAAAGUCCACAAUUGAUCGCUCACUCCUCGUCUGGACCAAUGGCCGGAUGUGGUGCUGCAUCCCUGACCAAGCCAACAUUAGGGAGAUGGAACUUCAAUAAUAGAGAGUCCACCCCUGAUCUUGGCUAGAUUGAUUGAAACAUCAGCAGUACCUUUGAGCCGAUGUCAUCACGAUCCCACAGCCAGAGCAGCAAGAUUUUUCAAUACCUCCCAUGCCAAACUAAAAUGUGCGCAACUAUGCCCCC
rnacentral:lncRNA from 1 species